rnacentral:rRNA from 1 species
CCUACGGGAGGCAGCAGUAAGGAAUAUUGGUCAAUGGACGCAAGUCUGAACCAGCCAUGCCGCGUGAAGGGAUUAAGGUCCUCUGGAUUGUAAACUUCUUUUAUCUGGGAACGAAAAAAGGCGAUUCUUCGUCACUUGACGGUACCAGAUGAAUAAGCACCGGCUAACUCCGUGCCAGCAGCCGCGGUAAUACGGAGGGUGCAAGCGUUAUCCGGAUUCACUGGGUUUAAAGGGUGCGCAGGCGGGCAGGUAAGUCAGUGGUAGAAACUCCUAGAGCUUAACUCUAGAACUGCCAUUGAUACUAUCUGUCUUGAAUAUUGUGGAGGUAAGCGGAAUAUGUCAUGUAGCGGUGAAAUGCUUAGAUAUGACAUAGAACACCUAUUGCGAAGGCAGCUUACUACGCAUAUAUUGACGCUGAGGCACGAAAGCGUGGGGAUCAAACAGGAUUAGACUACCCUGGUAGUCCACGCCCUAAACGAUGAUUACUCGACAUUUGUGAUACACUAUAAGUGUUNUGAGAGAAGANAUAAGUAAUACACGAGGAGUACGACGACGAGUAGAACGAGAAGAGUAGAGAGNGAGAGAGCGACGGACGACGACGAGGAGGAGG